rnacentral:lncRNA from 1 species
CAGACACUUAACCGCUGUGCCACCCAGGCGCCCCUACUCAUAGAGCUUUUUAUGAAAUCCAGUUCGUGAAUCUCUCAAUGCAAGUGGGAUGGCUGGAAAGACUAGUGGCAGAUACGCUACUUUUCUGUUCAGGGAAGACUUCUCUGGUGAGAUAAGGAGAAGGCAGAGGUGUGAACGAAGGUGAGAAGUGGGCUGUCAGACAUCUCCACGAAGGAGCUUUCCAGAUGGAGGGAGCAGGAGGGAUGGAGGCAGAAGCGCCCUCGGUCUGUUUGAGGAAUAGAAGAGACGAAACAGGAAAGAACCCCAUUUGCAAGUCUCCAAAGGAAUUGCAUCUGCUAAUACCCUGGCCAAAGGAAGCCUCACAGACAACCUCGAAUCAAAGGAUGAAGUCAAUGGGUUCACAAUGCACGUGAUUUUUAGCAAUUUAUGCGUUUGGCUUGUUCGUAGGCGUUUGGGCUUUUGGGUGGACUUCUGGAGAUCCGUGAGCGCACAGGAACGAGUGGGACCGGCCUGCAGUCUUCGAUCUUUCACCGCCGGUUUGCUCCGAUAGUAAGACUAUACUGCUCCUGGGGCACCUGAUGCUGAGAUCAAGCCCCACUUGGGCUCUGCACUCAGCUCAGAGUGGAGUCUGCCUGCCCCUCUCCCUCCCCCC